rnacentral:tRNA from 2 species
GCCCCUGUAGUUAAAUGGAUAUAACAAGGGACUCCUAAGCCCUGGUUAGAGGUUCGAUUCCUCUCGGGGGCACCA